UACGGAGGGAGCUAGCGUUGUUCGGAAUUACUGGGCGUAAAGCGCACGUAGGCGGCGAUUCAAGUCAGAGGUGAAAGCCCGGGGCUCAACCCCGGAACUGCCUUUGAAACUAGGUAACUAGAAUCUUGGAGAGGUCAGUGGAAUUCCGAGUGUAGAGGUGAAAUUCGUAGAUAUUCGGAAGAACACCAGUGGCGAAGGCGACUGACUGGACAAGUAUUGACGCUGAGGUGCGAAAGCGUGGGGAGCAAACAGG
rnacentral:rRNA from 1 species